rnacentral:lncRNA from 12 species
ACUCCUUGGUGACAACGGUCACCUAAUUAAGUGUCUUUCUUUGUCAUGUGUCUCACACAGCAGCUCAGACAGAAAAUGAAUGAUUCUGGGGAAAAGAAAGCUGGACUCUAAGAUCCUCUCAAAGGCGAUGUGACCAGAUGAGAGAUCCCCUCACCAGAAUGUGCCAACCUGAGAUUAAACUUCAAACUCGCUGUUCUGACAUUUCCUUCUAUGAGAACAUCAUCUUACCUGGAUUCUGUCAAUGGUCUUUUGCUUACUGCCAAAGUAAAGCACUGCAGAACAUUUGGAAACUAUUGAAAAAGAAUCAACACAAAGUUCAGGUUGUUGAGGAAGAAGCAAAGCAAUGAAAGAAAAG